UCUGAUCUCCUCUUCCUUCCUUAUUUCGGAGGAUACCUUAGUUACCUCAAGCCUCCUCUUCCUCCGGUAGCUGAUCGGCGCCCCACUCGAAGUCUUCCUACCUGAUCAGCUUCCCGAGCUCACCCCUCUCCACCUUGCAGCUGCUGCUUAUCUCUUUUCUACUAGUAAAGUUGUCACCUUUCUUCCCCCUUUUGACUAAUUACUUCUAUUGUUUAUUCUAUAGGUCUUACUGCUCCCCUCCGCUUCAGAAGAUCCGUGGCCUCAUGGAUCAGGCUCCGAGUCGACGUCUGGGAACUGGGACUUGAGAAACCAGUAAUCCUCCCAGGUGGCUGCUCCUUUGUCCAGGGCACCAUCGGUGUCACCUGCGAGUUCACUGAGGGGCUUCUAUUGAGAAGCGAGACAUGGAACACCGGGUGGAUCCUGGAUCCUUCCAGUAGCCGUAGCCGAUACGCUACUUGCCCGAUUUUCUCUAUGAUCUCAAAAGGUCCAUAGUAUCGUGCGGAGAGCUUCAGAUUUCGUCGGACGGCUACACCCACCUGGCGGUAGGGCUGUAGCUUGAGGGCCUAGCGAGAGAGCACCGGCAGAG